GACGAACGCUGGCGGCGUGCUUAACACAUGCAAGUCGAACGGAAAGGCCCUGCUUUUGUGGGGUGCUCGAGUGGCGAACGGGUGAGUAACACGUGAGUAACCUGCCCUUGACUUUGGGAUAACUUCAGGAAACUGGGGCUAAUACCGGAUAGGAGCUCCUGCUGCAUGGUGGGGGUUGGAAAGUUUCGGCGGUUGGGGAUGGACUGGCGGCUUAUCAGCUUGUUGGUGGGGUAGUGGCUUACCAAGGCUUUGACGGGUAGCCGGCCUGAGAGGGUGACCGGCGACAUUGGGACUGAGAUACGGCCCAGACUCCUACGGGAGGCAGCAGUGGGGAAUAUUGCACAAUGGGCGGAAGCCUGAUGCAGCAACGCCGCGUGCGGGAUGACGGCCUUCGGGUUGUAAACCGCUUUCGCCUGUGACGAAGCGUGAGUGACGGUAAUGGGUAAAGAAGCACCGGCUAACUACGUG
rnacentral:rRNA from 1 species